GGAGGCGUCGCAUAGUGGUCUAGUGCGCACGCUUGGAAAGCGUGUGUGCCGCAAGGCACCGAGAGUUCGAAUCUCUCCGCCUCCG
rnacentral:tRNA from 1 species